rnacentral:tRNA from 1 species
AUUUAAAUAGCUUAUAUCAGAGUAUAAUAUUGAAGAUAUUACGGAAAUCUAAUGAUUUUUAAAUA